GACGAACGCUGGCGGCGUGCCUAACACAUGCAAGUUGAGCGACGAACCAGGGCUUGCCCUGGGGCAAAGCAGCGAACGGGUGAGUAACACGUGGGUAACCUACCCCGAUAACCGGGACAACCCGAGGAAACUCGGGCUAAUACCGGAUGUGCUCACUGGACUUCGGUUCAGUGCGUAAAGGAAGCUUCGGCCUCCGUAUCGGGAGGGGCCCGCGGCCCGUUAGUUUGUUGGUGAGGUAACGGCUCACCAAGACCGCGAUGGGUAGCUGGUCUGAGAGGACGAUCAGCCACACUGGGACUGAGACACGGCCCAGACUCCUACGGGAGGCAGCAGUGGGGAAUCUUGCGCAAUGCGCGAAAGCGUGACGCAGCAACGCCGCGUGGGGGAAGAAGGCCUUCGGGUUGUAAACCCCUUUCAGGAGGGACGAAGGUUCGGCGGUGAAUAGCCGUCCGGACUGACGGUACCUCCACAAGAAGCCCCGGCUAACUACGUG
rnacentral:rRNA from 1 species